rnacentral:misc_RNA from 1 species
AAAGUCGUAACAAGGUUUCCGUAGGUGAACCUGCGGAAGGAUCAUUAACACGUAUCCAACGUUAAACAACCCUGUGAACCUUCAGCGUGCUCUUGCCACACAUGUGCCGCAAUCUCUGGUAAAUCAUUGUUGACCAGCGUUUGAGUCAGGGACCUCGGCAGGUAUGUGUGUCAAUCGAGUGCAAGGGCAAUUGGCUUGGGUCGCUUCACCUAGAAGUGACUACUUAUUACCCUCUUAUAAAGUUCCAUCACGGAGCGGGGACCGAGCCUAAAACGUGUUUUUACACCUAUUAAACCCCCCCUACUAGACCUUGGGCACGCCGCCUGUACGUCCUAUCAAAACACCAUUUAGGACAAAAGCAAACGAACAACUGUUAACAAUGGAUAUCUUGGUUCUC